GAUGAACGCUGGCGGCGUGCCUAACACAUGCAAGUCGAACGUGAGGGUGCUAUCUAAGAUGGCACCUGAAAGUGGCGAACGGGUGAGUAACACGUGGGUAACCUGCCCUGAAGCGGGGGAUAACCGUGGGAAACUGCGGCUAAUACCGCAUGGGUUCGUGGGUGUGGGAACAGCCACGAGCAAAACUAAGGUGCUUUGGGAGGGGCCUGCGGUCGAUUAGCUAGUUGGUGAGGUAAAGGCUCACCAAGGCGAUGAUCGAUAGCUGUUCUGAGAGGAAGACCAGCCACACGGGGACUGAGAGACGGCCCCGACUCCUACGGGGGGCAGCAGUGAGGAAUCUUGCCCAAUGGGGGAAACCCUGAGGCAGCAACGCCGCGUGGAGGAUGACGGCCUUCGGGUUGUAAACUUCUUUUCUGGGGGAAGAAGGGGGAGGCGACUUCCCUUGACGGUACCCCAGGAAUCAGACACGGCUAACUACGUGCCAGCAGCCGCGGUAAUACGUAGGUGUCGAGCGUUAUCCGGAAUUACUGGGCGUAAAGGGCACGCAGGCGGCUGCUUAAGUCCGACGUGAAAGCGCCCGGCUUAACCGGGCGAGGUCGUGGGAAACUGGGCAGCUUGAGACAGAGAGAGGAAGGCGGAAUUCCCGGUGUAGUGGUGGAAUGCGUAGAGAUCGGGAAGAACACCCGUGGCGCAAGCGGCCUUCUGGCUCUGGGCUGACGCUGAGGUGCGAAAGCGUGGGGAGCGAACGGGAUUAGAUACCCCGGUAGUCCACGCUGUAAACGCUGUGAACUAGGUGUGGGGGGAGACCACCCUCUGUGCCGUAGCCAACGCGCUAAGUUCACCGCCUGGGGAGUACGGUCGCAAGGCUAAAACUCAAAGGAAUUGACGGGGGCCCGCACAAGCAGCGGAGCGUGUGGUUUAAUUCGAUGCAACGCGCAGAACCUUACCUGGGCUUGACAUGACCGUAGUAGUGAACCGAAAGGGGAACGAGCCUUCGGGCCGCGGUCACAGGUGCUGCAUGGCUGUCGUCAGCUCGUGUCGUGAGAUGUUGGGUUAAGUCCCGCAACGAGCGCAACCCGCGUGGCUAGUUACAUGUGUCUAGCCAGACUGCCGGCGAUUAGUCGGAGGAAGGUGCGGAUGACGUCAAGUCAGCAUGGCCUUGAUGUCCAGGGCGACACACACGCUACAAUGGCCGGUACAACGGGCAGCGAACCUGCGAAGGGGAGCGAAUCUCACCAAAGCCGGUCGUAGUUCGGAUUGCAGGCUGCAACUCGCCUGCAUGAAGCUGGAGUUGCUAGUAACCGCCGGUCAGCCAUACGGCGGUGAAUACGUUCCCGGGCCUUGUACACACCGCCCGUCACGUCAUGGGAGUCGGCAACACCUGAAGUCGGUGACCCAACUGGCAACAGAGGGAGCUGCCUAGGGUGGGGCGGAUGACUGGGACG
rnacentral:rRNA from 1 species